rnacentral:misc_RNA from 1 species
CUGGGUCAGCCGCCAGUGCGGUGUUCACCUCACACUGGGUCACACCGUCUUGUCGGGGAGUGCGGGGACGGUCAUCGUGCUGGUGCUCGGGGACAAUCUGUUUUACACAUCUCUCGUGUUAUAAUUCGUGCUGGAAAGUUAGCGUCGGAGUGGUAGACUGUGGAGGAGAUAUACGAGGCAUCGCUCGGGAGAACUGUUGCCAGCGGGGGCUCAGGAGGUCGUGGUUACUGAGAGGGAUCCUGUCUUCACCAGUCUCUCCAACCACUAACAACAGUCUCUGAGGGAACACCAUGGCUGCAUCGUUGCGGGUGGGCGGAUGUGCUGGUGGAGUGGCGGCGGCGGGGCGUCUGACAGUGGCGGCGGCUGCAUGAGGGGCGGCGGCCAGCGGGUGUUGGACACGACGUGUGACGGGGGCCGCCAGUCCCCCGCCAUUCCUUACUCCGCCCACACCAACCAGCCGUAUUCCUGCGUGGUUGUGCCGCACUCACUCACGGCGCCGGCCACCGCCGCCGCUGCCGCAGCCGCCUACGCCUCCCCCCUCUCCCCCCCAGCCUUCCCCAGAGGGGUGCCGCCACCCCCCAUCGGCACGCCUUUAGGCACGCCACCUUCACCUUGUUACGGCAGCUGCAGCUGCGGCGCCUCGACCGCGUCGUCUCCGGGGGCGUGCCGCGUGCACGAACGGGUGUUCACGUGCCCGCCGCCGCCUCCACCCGUGACGUGCGGGGCCACGGAGCGUGAGAGCGUGCUGGGGGCACUCUCUGGGGGUGAUGGGGAUCUAGCCGUGCCCAUUAACGAUGACCAGGAGGUAUGGCACCCUAGGGACGAUACAUCGGAAGAGAUUAAAGAAGAAAGUGUUAAGGAAUUAUUGCUAAGCUGUAGCUUGAAGAGGCAGCGUGACAGUAUGAGUGAGUGUAGUGUAGGGUGCGACCGGUGGAGGGAGCAGGGCCACCACCGCCACGAUGGCCCACCGUGGCCCACCUUGAGUAACGCGCCUUUUGGCAGCUUGCAGAAGCAAGUCUCGAUCAUGAGUCUGAACCUGAGCGCCAAGAUCGAUGAGAUCCAGUGUCAUCAACACGCCGACACCAGCGCUGCUCUCCACGCUAUCAGAUCGCAGCUACAGGAGCUGACUAAGAGCGUUGAGAGCUGCCAGAGCGAGGUGGUGGAGGUGAAGAGAGAUAUGGUAGCUAUCAAGCAUGAGAUAGACACCCUCCAGGCGGCCAAGGAGGAGAUAGAGGAGCUCCGAGAUGCUGUCGACCGUCUGGAGGAGCAGACUAGGCGAAGGAAGAUUCGCUUGCUUGAGCAGGGUCUAACCUGCUUCCUGUGCUAUGCCAUCUUUGCGGCAGUGCUCGGCAUGUUCCAGUUUGGCUACAAUACUGGCGUCAUCAAUGCUCCUCAGUCUGUUAUUGAGAAUUUUAUCGGUGACUGCUGGAAGGAGCGCUACAAUAAAAAUAUAGAAGGCAGCAAGCAAGACUUACUAUGGUCCAUUGCUGUGUCUAUAUUUGCCAUUGGCGGAAUGAUUGGUGGUUUCUGUGGCGGUUCCGUAGGAAAUAAAUUUGGGAGAAAGAAGGGGUUACUCUUGAACAACCUUCUUGGAGUCGGUGGCGCCUGCCUCAUGGCCUUCUCACAGAUGUCCUACUCCUAUGAAAUGCUCAUCCUAGGUAGAUUGGUCAUUGGCAUUAACUGUGGUCUGAACACAUCUUUAGUGCCUAUGUACAUCAGUGAGAUAGCCCCGCUCAACCUUCGAGGUGGUCUGGGUACUGUUAACCAGCUAGCAGUCACUGUUGGCCUGCUCCUAUCCCAGAUUCUCGGCAUUGAACAACUUCUUGGGAACAGCAAUGCAUGGCCAAUCCUCCUGGGGCUUGCAAUUGUCCCAGCUAUAAUGCAAAUGGUGCUGUUGCCAGUAUGUCCCGAGUCCCCUCGCUACCUGCUCAUGUCCCGCCAGAUGGAGGAUGAAGCACGCAGAGCCCUACGAAGACUACGGGCAUCAACCCACGUAGAGGAGGACAUAGAAGAGAUGAGGGCUGAAGAAGCAGCCAGCCAAUCAGAGGCUCACAUGACUAUGUUUCAGCUGGUGCGGUCGUCAACAUUACGCAUGCCUCUAACUAUCGGUGUUGUUAUGCAACUCUCUCAACAACUGUCUGGCAUUAAUGCGUUGGUGCUGUACUACUCUACAUCACUGUUCACUGCUGCGGGUCUGGAGGAGUGGCAGUCAAAAUAUGCAACCCUAGGUGUGGGGUCAGUUAUGGUCAUCAUGACCUUGGUAUCGAUUCCACUCAUGGACCGUGCUGGCCGACGAACACUUCACCUCUAUGGUCUUGGAGGAAUGUUUAUCUUCUCAAUCUUCAUCACCAUUAGUCUCCUUAUCAAGGAAAUGAUGUCAUGGAUGACCUUCAUCUCUGUGAUAAGCACUCUUUGCUUCGUCAUCUUCUUCUCUGUUGGUCCCGGCAGUAUUCCUUGGAUGAUUACGGCUGAGCUCUUCUCCCAGGGCCCUCGGCCAGCUGCCAUGUCCAUUGCUGUUUUAGUGAACUGGCUCUCUAACUUUAUUGUUGGCAUUGGUUUUCCUAAAAUGCAGGAAGCAUUUGAGAACUACACAUUUUUGCCAUUUAGUGUAUUAUUAGCGUGCUUCUGGGUCUUCACCUACUACAAAGUUCCAGAGACAAAGAACAAGACCUUCGAGGAAAUAUCGGCAAUCUUCCAAAGAGGCGUUGAUAGAGAAUACCUGGAUGACCCCAGACUGUACGGCACCCUCAGCACGCUCUGACAGAAGCGAUGGACCCGGCGGCCUGGGGCGACGGGGGAGUGAUGGCAGCAAUUCCUGCGGAGGUAGUAGUAGGGCAGAAAGUGGGCUACUACCACCCUAAAAGGUCAUCAUCACUGGAGUGCCACAAGCAGCAGGGCAGCGUGGCAGCGGGGGCGGCGCGGCCCUGCCCUUGCUCACUAGCGCAGUGGAGGCAUGCUAGGCUACUCACUGCCACAGUGGAAGUGUGUACCGUGGCAUGCUUACCAAACCUGAUAGUACUGAUACUGCGCCCUGUUUAAAGGCUACAUUACCCACAGUUUGUAACCUGUUACUGAAUAAACAUUGUAUGUUCUUCUUUCAUAGAA